rnacentral:rRNA from 1 species
UACGAAGGGUGCAAGCGUUACUCGGAAUUACUGGGCGUAAAGCGUGCGUAGGUGGUGAGUUAAGUCUGUCGUGAAAGCCCCGGGCUCAACCUGGGAAUGGCGAUGGAUACUGGCUCGCUAGAGUGCGGUAGAGGAGAGUGGAAUUCCCGGUGUAGCAGUGAAAUGCGUAGAGAUCGGGAGGAACAUCAGUUGCGGAAGGCGGCUCUCUGGACCAGCACUGACGCUGAUGCGCGAAGCGUGGGUAGCAA